CAUUACGUAUAACCCAUUCCCACGAUCACGAUAAGAUACAGAUUCAAUUCAAUCAUCGUCCACUGCUUGCUUCACCUUGUUGCCGCCUCCGGCUUGCUCCACCGUCGUCGUCACCUCCGGCUUGCUUCAUCGUCUCUGUAGCCUCCGGCUUAUCCCACUGCCGUUGUUCAUCAACUGCUUCAGGCUUGCUUCAUAGAUGGGUUCAAUAGAGUCAAAAAAGAAAGAGAAAGAAAGAGAAAAGAAACAUACAUGGAUAAACAAGUGUUUCCCCAUAGCCUAAUCCACCAGGAAAGUCUCUAGCUAAAGCCAUAAGUAAUUCAACAGUAUCUUUAGCAGCCAAGUCUGCAAAUGAUUUGACUCAGUCCAAUGCUAGUUCUCAAGGCACAUUGCAAUAUAAUGUCACCGGUUCAAAAAAAAAGUUAUAUAUGGUAGACAUAAAUAUAUUUAUAUAGUCUAAGGGGUAAAGUGUAAAAUUUGGUAAAAUAGAGAAAAGGGUAGAAUUGUCUAUUUAUUAAAAUUUGUUGUGUAUUUAUAAAUCUUGUUAUGUACGGAUCAACUCCCUUUUUAAAUACAGUCUCACGUAUCCAUAAUUAAAAAACCCACGGUUUGUUUCAUUCACAUUCCAGAGCAAGAACAACAGAAUAAAGUAAAAAAUAUUGAAGUUGCCAUGCAUUCUUCUCUUUGGUAUGAUUUAACCGUUUUUUCUGAUGAGUUGAAGUAAUCGAUGUAUUCAUCUUCCUCUUUUUACUCUUGGCCUUUUAAUCGGUGCUAUUACACGUAUUAACUGCAUAUUAAUAAAUAAUAACUAAAGAAUGUGACAGAAAAAUCAACACAACUGAAGUAACUAUACUCUAAUUUGGGCAUUAAAACAGGGACACAACUUAAAUAAAUAUACUCUAAUUUUGCUGAUAACAUUGUUUAGUAUAUUCAGUUCGAUUUCAGAUCCAUUAAGUUCAUACCUAACUAACGUCAAAGAAUGAUAGAUAUAUUCUCUUUUCUUUUACAAGAGUCAACAACAUGCUUAUCAAACUUCAUUUGAAUACAAGGGCAGUCUGGUCAUUAUUCAUUACACAGUAAUUUUUUUUCCUCAAUGAAUGAAUAUAUAAAUAGGGAUCAUAAUUGUUAGCAUAUAUAUUUUUUGUUUUAUUCUUAAUAGCAAUUAAUAGCAAUGUCCCAUGUACUAAUAAGAUUGUCACAUUGAACCUUUGUAGGAGCUGCAUAAAUUUGUGACAUCAGGGGCAUAAUGGUAAUGUGAAAGUUACAAACAAUUGUAAUAUGCAUGAAUCAAAGUACAUUGUUCUUUAUUGGUCAUGAAUCAAAGUACAUUGUUAUUUACUGUAUUAGUUUAUUGCAGCCUAUUGUAACUAAAUGGUAUAUGUGUAAUUCCAUAAACGCCCUUCUUCGUAA